rnacentral:lncRNA from 13 species
GAAAGCCAGAAGGGAAGGCAGGGGUCUCCCAGGGUCCCCAGAAUCCAGGCCAACUGGAGGCCUGGGCAAGAGGAGGGAACCGCCCUUGAGCACCUUCUGCAUGCGCCUGAGGUGCUGACUCAGCCAUGGCCAGCGGGAGAAGUGCCCCAAGACCUGCCCUGAGCCCCAUGGAGACAGAGACACAGCUGUCAUAGACCAGGCGCCACUGGAGAGUGUGGCCACCAGGAGGAAGGGCUCCCUGGCUAAGGAGGCUUCACUAGUCAGCACGGCCAACCCUUUCCGUUCCUCCUCCUCGGCCUCCUCAACAUGAAGGCAACAAGGAUGAAGACCUUUCUGAUGAUUCACUUCCACUUAAUGAAUAGUAAUCUCUCAGCUUGGAAAGACAGCAUCAAGCAACUAGUGAAAGUGAUUCUCUGUGCACUCCAGGGCCCCGACUGCUUGCUGAGCAGACUUGUUGUAGAUGUUGGUUUCACAAUGCUAGGAAGCAUGAAAUAGCUGAUGAACUUUCAAGAAAUCAUCCCUAUCACAUGUCAACAAAUUGAAGACGGUCCUCUCCAACAGCUACAGGAUGGCCAGCUGUUCUCCGUUGUUGAUUAAAUGCAGACCCAUAAGCUUUGGCAAGAAGUUGAGUGGAGGAAGUGUUGGUUGCCUCCUGAGGAAAUGAAUAUGCCUAACAAUGACUCAGGCCUGAGUCCUUGCUCAGGGGUGUGUGCAUAUGUAUUCCACAAUCCUCUGUAGAAAAUGAUUUUGGAUCCACCAGAAAACACAAACUACGAUGGAUGAUCAGAGCUCUAACAUUUGCACUCCUUACUAAAUGAAUGCAAUCGCUGUAGUCUUGGGAAUGUUCAGAGCAAGUGAAAUCAGUUAACCAUACCAAUCAAAAAGAAUCUCCGGAAAGCACCUCAAGUUUGAAUUUGAGCAAGCAAAUUUUUCGUGAAAUGAUUUAUUUAAAUGAGUCUUUGUUUAUAAACGUUUUGGGAUGAGGGUUAUCUACAAAACCGUAACUUGAAUUUGAGACUAGUUGGUGUUACUUGGAAGCCAUGCCGAGCUACAAUGCUUAGCUGUUUGGGUCAUAGCUAGAUAGAGGUGGCACCUCAUCACCCACCUAGAAUAUGCAUGUGUUCAUAUUACUACAUUCUCCAUACCAGGCAAUUAUGUGGCCACCUUAGCUGUGAAUAGUAUCAGAUAAUUAACAAAUAAGUGUUACAGAAGUGGUCAUUUUAAGUUCUAGAAUAUAUUACUUGAGUGCAUUAAUUUUUUGCUUUUCUUAAUUUGUGGGAAUUGCUCCAUUCCAAAUGAAUGAAUUAAUUUUUUAAUAGUAAUACACUUAGUAGUAAAAACUCAAACAAUGCUGAAAUUAUAGAAUAAAACCCUCCUUUUCCCUCCCA